UAAUUCCUAUUAUACUUAACAGAACCCCCACAUUCAACCUAUCCCCAGAUAGCUUGGGUCUGAGCGCUCAUUAUAUCCGAACAGCGCUCAGAUGCCACAAACACAGUCAAAUCGCCAUGGGGUUAAACCAUAGCAACAAGUUCCAACUGGUCUGGCAGUGUCCCUGGGACAGGAAACGGGGGAGGGGCACACCUUCUCAUGUAUUCAAAG